rnacentral:rRNA from 1 species
ACACAGCACUGUGCAAACACGAAAGUGGACGUAUACGGUGUGACGCCUGCCCGGUGCCGGAAGGUUAAAUGAUGGGGUUAUCUUCGGAGAAGCUCUUGAUUGAAGCCCCGGUAAACGGCGGCCGUAACAAUAACGGUCCUAAGGUAGCGAAAUUCCUUGUCGGGUAAGUUCCGACCUGCACGAAUGGUGUAACGACUUGGGCACUGUCUCGGCCAUGAGCUCGGUGAAAUUGUGGUAUCGGUGAUGACGCCGAUUACCCGCAGCGGGACGAAAAGACCCCGUGAACCUUUACUACAACUUUACAUUGGCUUUAGCUGUCGCAUGUGUAGGAUAGGCGGGAGACUUUGAAGCGGCGUCGCCAGGCGUUGUGGAGUCACCCUUGAAAUACCGCCCUUGCCACAGGUGAAGUCUAACCCUUCCGGGGGAACAGUGUAUGGUGGGUAGUUUGACUGGGGCGGUCGCCUCCUAAAGAGUAACGGAGGCUCCCAAAGGUACCCUCAGCACGGAUGGCAAUCGUGCGUAGAGUGUAAAAGCAUAAGGGUGCUUGACUGCGAGACAUACAGGUCGAGCAGGCACGAAAGUGGGGUUUAGUGAUCCGGUGGCACCGCAUGGAAGGGCCAUCGCUCAAAGGAUAAAAGGUACUCCGGGGAUAACAGGCUGAUACCGCCCAAGAGUUCACAUCGACGGCGGUGUUUGGCACCUCGAUGUCGGCUCAUCACAUCCUGGGGCUGAAGCCGGUCCCAAGGGUAUGGCUGUUCGCCAUUUAAAGUGGUACGCGAGCUGGGUUUAGAACGUCGUGAGACAGUUCGGUCCCUAUCUGCCGUGGGUGUAGGAAUAUUGAUAGGAUCUGUCCCUAGUACGAGAGGACCGGGAUGGACGUAUCUCUGGUGGACCUGUUGUCGUGCCAACGGCAUAGCAGGGUAGCUAUAUACGGAAUGGAUAACCGCUGAAGGCAUCUAAGCGGGAAACCAACCUAAAAACGAGUAUUCCCUGAGAGUCGUGGAAGACUACCACGUUGAUAGGCUGGGUGUGGA